rnacentral:rRNA from 1 species
AUACGGAGGAUCCGAGCGUUAUCCGGAUUUAUUGGGUUUAAAGGGUGCGCAGGCGGCCAUUUAAGUCAGCGGUUAAAUCGUGGGGCUCAACCCCAUUCUGCCGUUGAUACUGGGUGGCUUGAUUGCGGUCGAGGUUGGCGGAAUUCGUUGUGUAGCGGUGUAAUGCAUAGAUAUGACGAAGAACACCGAUUGCGUAGGCAGCUGACCAGACCGCAAAUGACGCUCAUGCACGAAAGUGCGGGGAUCGAACAGGAUUAGAUACCCUGGUAGUCCGCACAGUAAACGAUGAAUACUUGUUUUCGGCGAUAUAAUGUCGGAGGCAAAGCGAAAGCGAUAAGUAUUCCACCUGGGGAGUACGCCGGCAACGGUGAAACUCAAAGGAAUUGACGGGG